GUGGGGAAUAUUGGACAAUGGGCGAAAGCCUGAUCCAGCCAUGCCGCGUGUGUGAAGAAGGUCUUCGGAUUGUAAAGCACUUUAAGUUGGGAGGAAGGGCAGUAAUUUAAUACCUUGCUGUUUUGACGUUACCGACAGAAUAAGCACCGGCUAACUUCGUGCCAGCAGCCGCGGUAAUACGAAGGGUGCAAGCGUUAAUCGGAAUUACUGGGCGUAAAGCGCGCGUAGGUGGUCUUGUAAGUUGGAGGUGAAAUCCCCGGGCUCAACCUGGGAACGGCAUCCAAAACUGAAUGACUAGAGUACGGUAGAGGAUAGUGGAAAUUCAUGUGUAGCGGUGAAAUGCGUAGAUAUAGGAAGGAACACCAGUGGCGAAGGCGACUACCUGGACUGAUACUGACACUGAGGUGCGAAAGCGUGGGGAGCAAACAGGAUUAGAAACCCUGGUAGUCC
rnacentral:rRNA from 1 species